CACGUGGGCUCCAGCUCACCUGCCCGGAGCUGGGGUGCGUGCCGCGGGCACAGGAGGGCUCGGGGCUUGCCAGAGCUGCAGAAGAGUCCCUACGGAAAGGCGAGAUGGAGACUGGGGCGCAGAUCCGGGCGGCCUGGGCGGGACCCUGAGCCCCCGGCCUGCACCUCCUGAAGGACAACGGGGAGCCCUUGGUUUCUUCUCUCCUUGGUACAAGGGAUCCCUCGGCGGGUUCAAAGGGGAAGAGCAUGGCCAGGGUACAGUAUCCCGCCGGCCCCACCCUAAGUAAUGCUAGGUUUAGCUCCUUCCCAGAUGCCUUUAGAUUCGUAUUUCUCUCCGUUUGCCCAGAAAUACCUAAAGCAGAGAUCACUCCUCACCAACAGUUUGGAAGAUCAUUUGUAUAAAAACUUUUAAGGAUUGCUGCAUGUUUAUCCAUUAGGGUGUUGGUAUUUGCCUAGAUUUUAGGAUGAUUAGCCCCUUGUUUAUCUUUUAUAGGAAUUGUGGUUUGUCCUUUUAUCCCCUUAGACUAUUAUUAUUGUUUUGCUUGCAGAAGUUUAAAAAAAAAUUGUAUUCAGUUUAACCUAUCUUUUACAGCAUCUGUGUUGUGGGUUAUUUGAAAGCCUUACUUCUGAUGAGUUUGCAGAGAAAUCUAUCAGUAUUUCUUUCCAAUACUUUAAUAGCUUUGUUUUUUUACAUAGAAAUCUUUUAUUUUUUAUGUUUUUGGAAUUUAUCUUGGUGAAUGAUUUGAUAUUAAACUCCAGUUUUGUUCUAGAUUUUUAAAAAUUAUUCCAUUGUUUCCUCAUAACAUGAAUUUUUGAAGAGUGUAAUACUCAAUCCGUUGUAGUUUAUUUUAGUGUAGGGUGUUCCGAGGGGCAUGGCUUUACUUUGUUUUUUUCCUAAAAGGCCAACGAGUCAGAACAACAGCAUGCAAUGAGAGACAGACUUCUUUUAUGGUCAUUUGAAAUCCUGUGUCUUCCUAGUGAUACUCCUUCUACCUCAGCUGUUCUGAGUAUUUGUAAGGCAAAUCUAAAUGGUUUCCUCUAUCUCUGGACUGAGUGCCUCUGAGGACGAAGGCCCCCUUUCAGAGACGAGUCCACUGCCCUUGAGAAGGGUCCUGCAGCACAGCACCCUGGAGGAAGCCGCGCUUAGUGAGCACAGGCAGUCUCUGGGCUGUGUCCCCUCCCCAUUGCCUGCAUGCGCUUCCUGGGACCUCCCAUCCCAGCAGCCAGGGCUCAGCCCCAAAGCUGCCCGCCAAGAGGGGCAGCCUUCUAAUAUCUGGGCCUCUGGGGCAUCCAGUGGGUUGGUAGGGCCGGACCGGGACCCCUGGGCUCCUGAGGAGGACAUGCCCACACCAGCCUCGGGCGCCUGGCCGCAGCAACAGGGAAAGUCCGCCCGGGCAGGAAGGUGGCCACGAAACCUGGGACUGCCUGGGAUCCCCAGUGUGGCUGGCAGGAGGAGACGGGACCUGAAGAAGCUGGCGGCUGCGCCUUUGAAGCCCCUUCUGCUGAAGUGCCUGGACUCCUUGGAAGCCGGGUGUGGGAGCACUGGACUGCUGCUUCCACCUUUUGUUAUUUAGCCCCUCCAGGCCCUAUUGAAGGGGCAUGGGUCCAGCUUCCAGGCUACAGCAGAUGGUGCAGCUCUCCAGAAGUCCCUUUCCCUCCAAGCGUUCCUGUUGGCCUUGCAGCCCCCUCUGCAUGGCUUCGCUCUCCUGUCUGGUGGGGGUGUCAGUCAUUCAGAGCUUCUCUUGAUGCUGGCCCACACACACCUCUGUACUGUGCCUGAGCUAGUGAGGAGCAGCCUUGUACAACUGACCAGAAGUCCUGUGUGUGGACCUGACCACCAGGACUGCCUCUCUUUUGCAGUGCAUCUGUGUCCUAUCCCUAAUGUCCUCCCUGUGGGCUGAUGCUCCGCCCUGCCGCCAGGAGGGAUAGAAUGAGCCUGGCUGGAAUAUUCCAGAGCUGAAGAAGAGAAGGGGCCUGUGGGUGUCACUGUGGGAUGGUGAUUGUCACAAAACCUCACCUCCCCCAGCUCAUCCUGGGUCUCCAGAGACAGCACAGCCCCUGGGCCCAGGCGGCCCUUCUGUGUAGGCUGCAGGUGCUCUGUUGGGGCAGCCAACUCCCAGCUGUGUGCAUUGCUUCAGGGGCAGUUCCUUUGCUUCCAGGGGCUUGCUGCCUGGUCGCGGGCUCCCACUCCAGCCAUUGUCCAUGCCCCCACUGGCACUCCUCAACACCAGCAUUUCCUGUACCUCAUUUUGCCCUUCUGGGUUUGCUUCUAUUUUUUCACUUUCAGGGUCAGGACCCUGAUGCGUGGUAACCUGACAUCAGUGGCAGCAGACACCAUCCUUUCUUCUACCCAACAUUGUACUUUGUGAUCCAGCACCAACACACACCCUGUGCCAUCGUGCUCAGCCACCUGUACCCCAGGCUCCAGUUUCUAUGAGCCUGAGCCUGUCUUGUUCAGAAGCAGGUUUCCUCCUGCUCCUUUCCUAGUUCUGGCCUGAGGCCGCUUCCUCCUCUCCUUUCCUAGUUCUGGCCUGAGGCCGCUUCCUCCUCGCUGCAGCUCCUGAAGAGGGGGCUCCUCAGGCCUGUGGGAAAUUGUCUAGACUGCCCCACACAGACGCUCUGCCCUCAGAUGCUGCCCAGGCUGGCCCCCUUGUCCCUGUCCCAUCCCCACUGGCCCCUUCAUGCUCUUGCCAGACCAGGUCCCCUGGUCCUUACCUUAUCUUCCUGCCCCACCUGGAGACUCGGCCCUCUGGGUGGUGGCUGGCACCUGCAGGCUGGCCAGGUUAGCUCUGAGCUGAGAAGCCCAGAUGGUGCCCAAGAGCUGACCGUGUGGGUUCUGCAGCCCAGCAUGGAUAUCUGCUUUCCCUACAUAGCCUCUCCUGCUGAGCAAACCAUCUGAGACACCUUUCCUCUGACAGAUGGAGCGAGUGAGGCAGUGGGAAGCCUGGCUGCUGCAGAGCAUCGAGGAGGCCACCCAACAUGAGCUCACCAUCCAGGACUGCUAGAACAGAAUAAGGCACCCCUAAAGCAGGGCACCCUGAAACAGAAUCCCAGGCUGGAUUGGAACAAUAGGACAGGUAGACUCUAAGGUCAGGCAAGGUCAGGUGUUCUGUUUUGACUGAACCAGUGAGAGUUUUGCUGUCUAGCCGUGGGGCAGUCAGAAAGCAUUAAAGAGUGAGAACGUGGUUUUCCUGCACUUGUGUGGGGUUUCCAGUAAAGCAGGAGGGAUGAAAUUUCCCAGGAGAGCGGACAUGGCCGGGCUACAAGUCCUGGGGUGGUUGCACCCACUCCCCUCUGCUGACGCUCCUGGCUGGUGGAUGGACACACUUGUGAGUUCAACAGCUGGUUCCUCCAUUAUAAGCUGACAGAUCAACUUGUUCACUUUUUCUUUUGUUACAACAAUUUAUCAGCCUAUAAAAACUAACGCUUAUGAAGUCUUCAAAUGAAAUUAUAAAGCAUGAAAAUUGCCUACAAUUGCACAUGGAGAUAAAUCAGUGUAGUUCCUUCUCAUUCUUACUGCUAAAAAUAAACAGUUUUCAUGAGAGCUAUUUCUAAAAUCUGGCUGAUGCAGAGUAAUUCAGAUAUGUAAUCAGGUUACCUCUCUCUGUCUUGUUUCCAUCCUUUGAAAAAUUCACCUUCAGAAUGAAACCAGGGAGAAGGAAGAAUAAUGUAAGGACUCUGGGGAAACUUGCUGGAAGCUGGGGAAUUACAGGCAUGCAGGAGGCAGUUUUAUGAGAAAGAUAAUUUCCUAGAUAUUUAUGUUGCCUUUCUCCUGUGUGUGUUAAUUAAAGGGGUUCCUGUGUUUGCACAGAGGAAUUUAUGCAGGUCUCCAUAGGCCCUCCAGUUACAUGUUUGAAAUGCACUUAUCUCAGAAAUGUCAAAAAACAGCAUAGACUGAGAAUGUUCUGUCCAUGGGAAGACGCUGGUAGGACAUGAAAGAGGGAACAAUUCCCAUGCCAGUGUCUCCACAGCCCGAACCUGCACACAAGGACGGGAGUCCCACUAGCUUGCCGCCACCGUCUGAGCCCGCAGGAGUGUGGCUGGCCCUAAGGGGCAUUCUCAGACUGUGACAGUCAGACAACAGUGCUGGCAGCUCAGGGUGGGCAGUCGGUGAGAAACUGCAGGAUUUCUAGAUGAACAUUGUCUUAGGGGAAAUGACAGACCAUAAACAGUAACCCUUGGGGGGAAUGAAGCCAUCCAUGCUCAUUCAGAGAUGGGGUCAGGGGUGACUUGUAUCACCAUUUUGAAUGAAAAGCAUCUCCUUAACUCUCGUUGUGUAUGCAAACCACAUAAUUUGCAAAAAACACAGUUUAGAACAUGGGGAAAGGAAAUGCAUACUCUUCCUGAUACAGUUUCUCUUAAGUUGAAAUGAGUUUUCCUCUCCACUCUACUUAAUGUUUUACCCUAGGGUAAUGAUCACGUUUACACACAGUGUCUGUCCUCAGAGCCUAAGCACUCCCCUUUGUCACUAAGUGUGGCUCUGAGACUGGACCAGACGGACCUGCCCAAGUUCUACUGCAGGAUGCCCUGUGCUCUGUGUUGAGAUUUCCACACUGCCAGACAUUUGGUCUCUGUAUUAGUUUCUGUUAGCUGAGUGUCUUGGUUUCUACUGUGUUUAAUUUCUGACUGCUGCAUAAUAAGCGACCACAAGCUGAGAGGCUCAAAACAAAAUCCAUUUAUUAUCUCAGUUCUGGCAGCUCUGCCAGGCCUCUGCCUGGGACCCUCCAGGUGAGGUCAAGGUGGGUUCUCACCUGCAGAAUCAUAGCAGAAAUGGAAUCCAGUUCCUUGCGGUUGUAGAUCUCAGGGCCCUGUUUCUUUCUGGCUGCCAGCUGGGGGCUGUUCUCAGAUCCCAAAGGCCUCCUGUGUUUACGUGUCCUCCACAAUUUUCAACCUCUGGGGUACAACAGAAGCUGUUUGGGCUCCACAUCCACCAGCCCGCCUCUUCUGCCACCAGUGGGAGGAAUUACUCUGUUUUUAAGGGCUGGUGUGAGACCUGGUGUGCCAGGUAAUGUGACCAAGUGCGCAUUCAGGGAUCUCAUCCCACUCACCGGUUUGGAGGUGAGGGGCAUGAAAUCCUGGGGCAGCUUUAAAAUUCAGCCCACUGCACUUUGUUCCCAGUUUUUCAUCAUUAUAAAUAAUACUGUGAUAACCUGGCACAAAGCAUUCUAGAAGUUAGUUCAUGGAGUUAAAGUAUAUUAGCAUUUUAUGAUCUCUGCUGGGUACUACCAAGGGAGGGCAGAGCCCCAUGAGCAGCAUCCAAGCUUUGCUGGUGGUAUGACAUCUGUACAAACACUGACCAAAUGGACAGGGGAAGCAGUGUGUCAUUGUUCUGAAUUUGCAUUUCUUUCAUGGACAAUUCUGUUGAACAUGUGUCUGUGUUCUUUAUUUAGUUGUAUUUAUUUCUCUGAGGAUUCUGUAAAUACUUUUUCUCUUGGGAUAGUGUGUUUUCCAUAAUGACUUUUUAAUCCCCUUAUUAGGAUUGAUUUUACUUGAAAUUAAACUCACAAUCAGAGAAAACUAUACAUGAUGUAAUUUUAUGUGUCGGCUAGCUUGGCUGGCCACCAUGUCCAGAUAGUUGGUCAAACCCCAGUUUAGAUGUCACUGUGCAGGUAUUUUCUAGAUGAGAUUAAUAUUUAAAUCAGUAAACUUGAGGAAAGCAGAUCACCCUCCACAGCAUGGGUGGGCCUCGUCCAGUUAGUUGAAGGACUUAAGGAAAAAGACUGAGGUUCCCCAGGUGGAAGGGAAUUCAGCCUCCAGAUGCCUUUUGUCUCAAGGUACAGCAUCCACUCUUCCCUGGGUCUCCAGCCUGCUGCCUGCCUUGCAGAUUUUGGACUUGCCUGACUCCACAACUAAGCACUCAAAAAUGGUCCCCAGAUGGCAUUCUUGGCAUGUGGGUGAGCCUGACCCAUCAGGACACAGCACGGGAGACCAAGGCAUGUGGGACCCAGGAUGCAGAUGAGUCACAUCCUGAGAAAAUUUCUUCCUAUGGAGUUUCCUGCAGAGGAUCGGGAAUCCUCAUGGGCCCCUCUGCUUGGCAGCAUGCUGCACACCUGGGGGGAGACCAUUGUCUUCAUUAUUCUCAGGGACA